CGCCGUAAAAUGUGACCCGGAGCAAUGUAAUUUUACGUUUUAUUAGGGCCCCGUAGCGGUUAACGUCAUUCGUCACAACGCGACAGGUGGUAUCCUUCGGCGGCGAUUCCACCGAUCCCCUUCGCCUCCGGUGGCUGAUUAGGUGUCGGCUUGCUGAUGGGAACACGGAUCUGUCCACAGAGGUAUGUUUUAGGUCUCUACGAUCUAGGUUUUGGGGUCUUGAUGGUGGUAGGUAGGCUAGGACGAAGCGGGAUAAAGGGAUCUCUCCGGCAUCUUCCUCGUCCUGCCGGUGUGGCCUCUGUAGAUGGCGCCAGGCCGGCGAGGGCAGGGCUCUCGACUUCCUACUUGUGGCGCUUUGCAGAGGAGCCAUGAGCUGGCCGACGCUCCAUCCAAUUCAAGAGGCUGCGGCCAGUCCAGGGUCUCAUGAGCACGGGCAGGUUCCCUGGCCGUGGCUGGGUGAUUCUUCCAGCUCACAAAGGCCAUGUAUGGCGAUGGUGCUCCAGACGCCCUUGUAUGUUUGGGCUAUUUUGGUUUUGCUUCAAUGUGUGUAGGUGGGGAUUGCACGGUAGGAGGUGAGAAACCUCAAUCCUAAUGCUUUCCGCACCAAACUUCCAAUCAACAUCCACAUACGUUUCACCUGGUCGUGUUCCUCCCAAAUCGUUGACUGUGUGCUUGACUGUGUGCUUGCUUUCGUGCAAGCAACAUUUUUUAUCAGGAAGCACAGAGAUGGGUCGUCAUGGAUUCAAAGAAGGUGUAGUAGUCAUGUAGUGUCGCUGGUGUUUCUCGGUGUCAGGUUAUGUUUGGCCAUUGGCAUGCAUAUUGAUGCGCCAUGCAUCUCCUUUCAUCAUGAUGGUCGGCGACCGGGUCUUCGCCGCCGGAGCUGUACAGUAUCACCUACUCUCGGGUGAAGCUCGGCGAGAGAGGUCCUAUAGUUUACAAAUAUUCGUGGAGCUCUCACAGUGGCAGACAGAGAGAGGAGCUACUCCAGCAUUGCACUGCUGACAGCAAGUGACUAAUGCCCUAAUCUUGUUGUGUAAAUUAAUGCAACUGGCGUUAACUUGUAGAGCAUCAUGUUGUUAGAAUAGUUCUAAGGUCACCGUAUGAUUUCCUUUACAUUUUUGCUUGCUUGCCUGUGUACCAAACAAGAUGCAAGAUGGCAUAUAAUGUAUUUUUACAUGGAAUCAUGGAUGGUGCAUUGAUGACAUUUUCUUUAGAGUAUGAUGAUCGUCUUUGUUUUA